rnacentral:rRNA from 1 species
AACCUCCGCAAUGUGAGAAAUCGCGACGGGGGGAUCCCAAGUGCCAUUCUUAACGGGAUGGCUUUUCUUAAGUGUAAAAAGCUUUUGGAAUAAGAGCUGGGCAAGACCGGUGCCAGCCGCCGCGGUAACACCGGCAGCUCUAGUGGUAGCUGUUUUUAUUGGGCCUAAAGCGUUCGUAGCCGGUUUGAUAAGUCACUGGUGAAAUCCUGUAGCUUAACUGUGGGAAUUGCUGGUGAUACUGUUGAACUUGAGGUCGGGAGAGGUUAGCGGUACUCCCAGGGUGGAGGUGAAAUUCUGUAAUCCUGGGAGGACCACCUGUGGCGAAGGCGGCUAACUGGAACGAACCUGACGGUGAGGGACGAAAGUUAGGGGCGCGAACCGGAUUAGAUACCCGGGUAGUCCUAGCCGUAAACGAUGCGGACUUGGUGUUGGGAUGGCUUUGAGCCGCUCCGGUGCCGAAGGGAAGCUGUUAAGUCCGCCGCCUGGGAAGUACGGUCGCAAGACUGAAACUUAAAGGAAGU